rnacentral:rRNA from 1 species
GGGGGAUAACGUAGCGAAAGUUACGCUAAUACCGCAUAUUCUGUGAGCAGGAAAGCAGGGGAUCGCAAGACCUUGCGCUGAUUGAGCGGCCGAUAUCAGAUUAGCUAGUUGGUGGGGUAAAGGCCUACCAAGGCGACGAUCUGUAGCGGGUCUGAGAGGAUGAUCCGCCACACUGGAACUGAGACACGGUCCAGACUCCUACGGGAGGCAGCAGUGGGGAAUUUUGGACAAUGGGGGCAACCCUGAUCCAGCCAUGCCGCGUGAGUGAAGAAGGCCUUCGGGUUGUAAAGCUCUUUCGGCCGGGAAGAAAUCGCACAGGCUAAUACCCUGUGUGGAUGACGGUACCGGAAUAAGAAGCACCGGCUAACUACGUGCCAGCAGCCGCGGUAAUACGUAGGGUGCGAGCGUUAAUCGGAAUUACUGGGCGUAAAGCGUGCGCAGGCGGUUUAGUAAGACAGGCGUGAAAUCCCCGGGCUCAACCUGGGAACUGCGCUUGUGACUGCUAAGCUAGAGUACGGCAGAGGGGGGUGGAAUUCCACGUGUAGCAGUGAAAUGCGUAGAGAUGUGGAGGAACACCGAUGGCGAAGGCAGCCCCCUGGGCCGAUACUGACGCUCAUGCACGAAAGCGUGGGUAGCAAACAGGAUUAGAUACCCUGGUAGUCCACGCCCUAAACGAUGUCAACUAGGUGUUGGGAGGGUAAAACCUUUUAGUACCGGAGCUAACGCGUGAAGUUGACCGCCUGGGGAGUACGGCCGCAAGGUUAAAACUCAAAGGAAUUGACGGGGACCCGCACAAGCGGUGGAUGAUGUGGAUUAAUUCGAUGCAACGCGAAAACCUUACC